rnacentral:rRNA from 1 species
GACGAACGCUGGCGGCGUGCUUAACACAUGCAAGUCGAACGGAAAGGCCCUGCUUUUGUGGGGUGCUCGAGUGGCGAACGGGUGAGUAACACGUGAGUAACCUGCCCUUGACUUUGGGAUAACUUCAGGAAACUGGGGCUAAUACCGGAUAGGAGCUCCUGCUGCAUGGUGGGGGUUGGAAAGUUUCGGCGGUUGGGGAUGGACUCGCGGCUUAUCAGCUUGUUGGUGGGGUAGUGGCUUACCAAGGCUUUGACGGGUAGCCGGCCUGAGAGGGUGACCGGCCACAUUGGGACUGAGAUACGGCCCAGACUCCUACGGGAGGCAGCAGUGGGGAAUAUUGCACAAUGGGCGGAAGCCUGAUGCAGCAACGCCGCGUGCGGGAUGACGGCCUUCGGGGUAAACCGCUUUCGCCUGUGACGAAGCGUGAGUGACGGUAAUGGGUAAAGAAGCACCGGCUAACUACGUG